rnacentral:misc_RNA from 1 species
UUGCAGUUCAAGGGGAGAUUGUGAUGCAGACGACGCCCACCGUACCAACAUUUACAGGCAGACCCGGCGAUCCAUCGCCGCCGGUCUUCGAACAAAUAUUCAAAAACGCCAGAUUCGCGCAGGGUGGAAACGCAAUUUUCGAAGGUCGCGUGAGAGGAAAUCCAAAACCUAUCGUCUGUUGGACUCACAAGGGUGCACCGUUGUUGGAGUCAUGGAAGAUUCACAUGUCUUACGACGAGAAGACCGGGGCGGUCACGCUUCAAAUCAACCAGAUUGGCCCUGGAGACGAGGGUGAAUACACGUGCAGUGCCAAGAAUCAAUACGGUAAGCAAUUUUUUACAUUCAACCAGAAGGAUUUGGACCUCCUCCGCAGCAGCAAAUGGGUGGUUACAGGAAGGAAUUCGCGCAGACUUUCCAAUCCACCGAACAGAAGACCCAAACGGGAACACAGAGCUUUCAACAACGUAGCUAUCAACAAACAAUCGAUAAACGAAGCUACGUUAAUGGAACUUCCGUCAGCAUCGAAGAUUUCAAGGUGGACACGUUCGAAUACAGAUUAUUGCGGGAAACAGAAUUUCGAGAGUCGAUCACUCGCCGCUUCGUGGGCGAAUCCGACGUGCAGAUUUCGACGGUGGUAGAUCGUAACCUGGGACCGGUUGCACCUCCGCAAAUCACGCAGAAGCCCAGAAACUCGAAGCUCGUCGAGGGAUCCGACGCCGUUUUCACUGCGAAAAUCUCUGGCAAUCCUAAACCGAGAUUAACUUGGUUCAAAAACGGUCAGAGGAUCCGCGAAUCGCAACGCGUGGAGAUGAGCUACUCGAAUCAACAAGCCUCUUUGAGGAUCAGAGUCGCCCUGCCGGAAGACAGCGGCCAUUACACUUUGCUCUCGGAAAAUCCUCAAGGGUGCACCGUCAGCUCUGCAUAUUUGGCGAUCGAAUCGAGCGAUCAGGUGGAUCAAGCCUACCAGGCCCAAAGGGAGACGAUCAAAACUCAGCAAGUUGAAACGAUCGGCGAGACCGAUUCUGGAAAAGUUCUGCCGCCGAAUUUCGUUCGCACCUGUACCGACCGCGACGCCACCGAAGGAAAAAUGACCAGGUUUGAUUGUCGAGUAACGGGCCGCCCGUACCCCGAAGUGACAUGGUACAUAAACGGCCAACAAGUGGCCAACGAUCUGACCCACAAGAUCCUCGUGAACGAGUCUGGUAACAACUCUUUGAUGAUCACGAACGUGAGCCGAGCGGACGCCGGCGUCGUGACCUGCGUCGCAAGGAACAAGGCCGGCGAAACCUCGUUUCAGUGCAAUUUGAACGUGAUCGAGAAGGAGCAAGUUGUCGCGCCAAAAUUCGUGGAACGAUUCACGACUACGAACGUGAAAGAAGGAGAACCGGUUGUUUUCAUGGCCCGUGCGGUUGGCACUCCUGUACCUCGCAUCACCUGGCAGAAGGAUGGAGUGCCGAUUACACCUGGACCGGAUGUGCGUAUAUCAACGGAUGGCAACGGAGCUUCGACUUUGGACAUACCCUACGCAAAAUUAUCGGAUGCAGCUUGGUACCAGUGCACGGCGCAGAAUGUGGCCGGCUCUACUGCGACCAGAGCGCGGCUUUUCGUGGAAACACCGAAAGGAGCAGCCCCCGAACCAAGACGCCUGAACUUACCCCGACCGACGAAAGUCAUCGAACCAGAACCAGCGCCUGGCCCCGAAGUGAUUUAUUUGAGACACGUGGAACGCGCCAAGCCAUACUUGCCCCCACCCGAGGAGGACAGAAUUUAUCCACCGCCGCGUUUCAUCAUACCGUUGAAGGACGUCCAUCAGAUCGAGGGUGGACGAAUCCACUUCGAGGCCAGAAUCGAACCGGUGGGUGAUCCCACUAUGAGGGUAGAGUGGUACGUCAAUGGAAGAGCUCUUGACGCGAGUUCCCGGGCGACUUCUAUCUUUCGAUUUGGUUUCAUCUCUCUCGACUUAAUUAGCAUCGUUCUCCAAGACAGCGGUGAAUAUUUGUGCCGCGUCGUAAGUUCGACUGGAGUCGCUGAAUCUCGAGCUACCCUCAGCGUGACACCACGCGCAACAAUCGAACAGACUAGCCAACACCCCGACAGUCUCCAGUACAUCCAACAGCUCGAGGAUUACAGCAAGUAUCAAAGGCAGGAGAGUGUGGAGGACAUCUCUCCACAGCGGCCGGUCUUCAUCCGGCCACUCCAGGAUCUAGGAGAGUUGCAGGAAGGUCGUAACGCUCAUUUCGAAGCGCAACUGACCCCUGUAAGCGAUCCCACGAUGAAAGUGGAGUGGUUCAAGGAUGGUAGACCGAUCACAGCUAGCUCAAGAAUCACAACCAUCUUCAACUUCGGAUACGUCUCGCUCAAUAUAUUGCACCUACGAGCUGAAGAUGCGGGUUCUUACACCGUGAGAGCUGUGAACCGCUUGGGAGAGGCUGUCAGCUCCGCAUCUCUUCGUGUCUUUGCACGCACAAGCGUUACAACAGAUCUGGGAAUCCCCGAGCAACAGAGGUACAUCGAGGCUGCCGAGGAGUUGGAAGCCUAUCAACAGGCGAUGCACCAGAAGUACGUGCAGGAGCAGCCUGAACCGACAAGCCCACCGGAAUUCAAAUCUCCUAUCAAGGAUCAGAACAGCAUACGAGAAGGUGGAUUCGCUCAUUUCGAAGCACGUCUGGAACCAGUUGGCGAUUCCGACUUGAGAGUCGAGUGGCUCAAGGACGGACGCCCUGUGGAAGCUAGUUCACGGAUCACGACAUUCUUCAACUUCGGUUACGUGGCGCUGACCAUCAAAUACGUGACGAUUCACGACGUCGGUAUUUACACGUGCCGCGCUUACAACCGCGUCGGUGAAGCGCACACAACCGCCCAGCUGAGCGUGAUAAGCAAGAACGACGUUAUUUACGACAGCCAACAUCCGACCGGAUUGCAGAAGAUCCAAACGUUGGAAGAUUCGAGCAGAUAUUCGCGGCAGCUCCAAGAGGAGACGCAAGUGACCCAGGCGCCGCGAUUCUUGGGCACCCUGAAGGGCACGAACAAGAUCGUCGAGGGGCAACGCGCCCACUUCGAGGCCCGCGUCGAACCUCAGAGCGACUUGACCAUGGCCAUCGAAUGGUACCACAACGGAAAACCCAUCACCGCGGCCAAUAGAAUUCAAACUUAUCACGAUUUCGGAUACGUGGCUAUAGACAUACUUCAAGUGAGAUCAGAGGACGCUGGUACUUACACUGUCGUCGCUAGAAACGCUCUUGGCGAGGCUCGAUUAUCCGCCACCAUGGUUGUAGAAACUCGUUCAAGCGUCGAUACGAGCAGCAUGCACCGCAUUUCCUACGAGAAAACGCAACGUUUGGAGGAGUCGAAAUUCGUCGAGCCCCAAUACCACAUCGAGGAGAUAUCGAAAUCGAAGCCGAUCUUCGUCCAACCGCUGAGCGAUCCUAAGCCGGUGAGCGAGGGAAAGAACAUCCACUUGGAGUGCCGUUUGGAACCGAUGGGCGACCCAACAAUGAGGGUCGAAUGGUUCCAAAAUGGCCGCCCAGUCACCGUUGGCUCCAGAUUCAGGACUUACUACGACUUUGGUUUCGUCGCUUUGGACAUCGUGCACUCGACAGUGCUCGACUCUGGGGAAUACACCGUCAGAGCCACCAAUCAUCUUGGCACCGCUCACACUUCCGCCUGCGUCAGAGUGAUAGGAAAGUCAGACGUCGUCACGGAAACGCAGCACGAGCAGUCUCUCGAGCAGAUUCAAAUGCUCGAGGACUCGUCAAGAUACCGUAAGACCCAACAAGAAGAAGUGACAGUAAUGCAGGCGCCCCAAUUCACCCGCCCCCUGCACAACAUCGAAACGGUGGAGCUCACCAACGUGCAUCUCGAGUGUCGUCUUCAACCUGUCGGCGACUCGACAAUGAGAGUGGAAUGGUUCGUAAAUGGGAGGCCGGUGAAGACGGGCCACAGAUUCAGGCCGUCCUACGAAUUCGACUACGUCGCCCUCGACAUCCUGGGCGUCUACCCGGAAGAUUCUGGGGUGUACACCUGCCAAGCGAGGAACCAAUUGGGAGAGGCCGUCACAUCUUGCUCAGUGAGGGUACACGCGAAGAAAGAUUUGCUCUUGGAGUCCCAACAUCCCGAGGGUUUGGAGAGAAUACAGUACUUGGAGGAUGCUUCCAGAUACAAGAGGCAGGAGAUGGUCGACGAGGUUGUCACCGUUAAACCGAGAUUCAUCACAGCUCCGAAAAGUCAAGAGAAUCUCCGCGAGGGGGAACACGCCCACUUCGAGUGCAAAUUGGAACCAGUGACGGACUCGAAUUUGAAAGUUGAAUGGUUUAAAAAUGGUCGUCCGGUUACAAUAGGACACCGAUUCCGUCCAAUACACGAUUUUGGCUACGUUGCUCUGGACGUGAUUGACCUGAUCGCCGAGGACUCGGGCACCUACACCUGUCGCGCUGUCAAUCUGGUUGGCAGUGACGAAGUAUCCUGCACUCUAACCUGUCGAUCAACUGCACAGGUUCUAACCGAUUCGAAGAACGAGAUUGGCCUCGAGCAAAUUCAUUAUCUUGAGGACAGGUCUAGAUAUCAAAGACGAGAGGAUGUCGAAGAGACGACCACCCAAGCCCCUAUCUUCACCACUUCUUUGAAUAACGUCGAGAUCAAGGAAGGGCAAAGGGCGCAUUUCGAGUGUAGGUUGAUUCCAGUUUCCGAUGCGACAAUGAAAGUCGAAUGGUUCCACAACAAUAAACCGGUCAAGGCCGGCUCUAGAUUCGUCGAGACGAAUAGCUUUGGCUUCGUGGCGUUGGAUAUCAUGUACGCCUAUCCUGAAGAUUCCGGCACAUACACCUGCAGAGCAAAGAAUAUUAUAGGAGAGGCUAUCACGUCGGCAAGCGCAGUUGUCCAUUCUAAAAAAUCAAUUUACACCGAGUCCCAAAACGAGGAAACUCUUCAAAGACUGCAUUAUUUGGAGGAUACCUCGCGAUACCAACGCAAAACCACAACUGAGGAGAUCAUUACUCAAGCUCCAGUAUUCACGAUGCCCAUCAAGGACCUGAAAGUCGCUGAAAAUCAAGCGGCUCAUUUCGAGGCUCGUGUAAUCCCUGUCGGUGAUUCCAAGCUGAAAGUAGAAUGGCUUCGAAAUGGAGUUCCAAUUGCAGCUUCUAAUCGUGUAACAACGAUGCACGAUUUUGGAUACGUCGCUCUGAACAUGAAGUACGUCAAUCCUGAAGACUCAGGUACUUAUACUUGCCGUGCAGUGAACGAUCUUGGAGAGGCAGUGACAUCAGCAACGCUCUUCGUUCAAUCCAAGGCGGCCCUGCAAUUCGAGUCGCAGCACGAGAGCGCUUUGUCGAAGAUCCAGGCGCUGGAGGACACGAGUAAAUACCAGCGGCGCGAGGAGGAAGAGAUCGUGGUGAAGGAGAGGCCGUCGUUCACGGUCCAACUGAACGGGCCCACCGCCCUUGUCGAGGGCCAAAGCGCACACUAUGAGUGCCGCAUCGAGCCCUACCCCGACCCAACCAUGAAGGUGGAGUGGUUCCAUAACGGGAAACCAUUGUCCACCGGUCACAGGUACAGAACCACUUGUGACUUCGGGUUCGCCGCGUUGGACGUGCUCACGGUAUACGCGGAGGAUUCUGGCACCUACACCUGCCAGGCAACCAAUAGACUGGGAUCGGCGAAGAGCUCGAUCAAUCUCGACGUGAAAUCUCGCUCCUCGAUUAUUCGCGAAACGCAACACGAAAGCGCCCUGAAGAAAAUACAAUACCUUGAAGACGACUCGCGUUACAAACGGGUAGAAGAAGAGGAUCUGAUCGUCGCCGAGAGACCGAAAUUCGGGCGGCCAUUGAAGAACAUCGAACAUUUGCCCGAGGGGAAGAGCGCUCACCUCGAGGCGACGUUGACGCCUGUCAAUGAUCCAACUAUGGUGGUGGAAUGGUUCAGGGAUGGGAGACCUAUUCCUCAAGGACACAAGUUCAAGACCACCUAUGACUUUGGAUACGUCGCUCUCGAUAUUCUCUACGCUUAUCCGGAAGACUCUGGAACUUACAUGUGCAAGGCAAGGAACGCUGUUGGAGAGGCUGUUACCACUUGCGUCAUCAGUGUUGAUUCGAAACAAGGCCUAUAUCUGGACACGCUUGACGCUCAGCGUUUGCAGAAGAUUCGCGAAUUAGAGACCGUGGAGGUGAAGAAAGAAAUUGAGAAAGAGGUUGUACACCAAAAGCCCGUAUUCUUGACGCCAUUGAACAACCUGGAUCAUCUAAAGGAGGGUGAACACGCUCACUUGGAAUGCCGCGUCGAGCCUAUCAACGAUCCAAAUCUAAAAAUAGAAUGGUUCGUGAAUGGAGUUGCUGUAAAGACAGGGCACCGCUUCCGCAAAACUCACGAUUUUGGUUAUGUGGCUCUCGAUAUUCUUUACACUUAUCCUGAAGAUGCCGGCACUUAUAUGUGCAAAGCCACGAAUUUGGCUGGCGAGGCUGUCAACACAUGCACCAUCAAAAUUGGCUCUCGCCGUAGCAUACUUCUAGACACGCAACACCCAGACGGCCUUGAAAAGAUUCGCGAACUCGAGGCCCAAGGUCGUCCAGCCCGCUUAGAAGUCGAAGAACCACCAGUGACGCCACCGAGAUUCGUUACGGAACUCAGGGGUACCACCGAGGUCUACGAAGGACAAACAGCCCACUUCGAGUGCCAAGUUGAGCCUCUUCACGACGCAAACUUGAGAAUUGAGUUCUUCCACAACGGCAAGCCGCUUCCAUCGGCUUCCAGGUUCCACGUGACGUUCGAUUUUGGAUACGUGGCUCUGGAUAUCGGCCAUGCUGUUCCCGAAGACGCAGGAGAAUACUCCGUACGAGCGAUCAACGCUCUAGGCCAAUGCGUAUCCUCGAUCGAGCUGAGGGUAAUUCCAAGAGAUAAUAUUAUUCUCGACUCGCAACGGCCCGAAGGAAUGGACAAGAUCCGCGAAUUGGAGGCUCAGCAACCUUGGAAGAGACCAGAAGUGCCAGAACCGCAAACCAGGCAGAGACCUGUGUUCACUCAACCGUUACAGAACAUCGAUGCCAUUCCCGAAGGACAUACAGCUCACUUCGAAUGCAGAUUGAUUCCUGUUGGAGAUCCCACAUUGAAGGUUGAAUGGUUCAGAAAUGAAAUCCCUCUUGAGACAAGUUCACGAAUAACCAAAGUUCACGAUUUCGGAUACGUAUCGUUGGAUAUCACUCAUGUCAGAGAGGAAGAUGAAGGUGUCUAUAUGUGUCGUGCUACCAAUCCACUUGGUGAAGCAGUUACAACUGCUUCGAUGAAGAUCAGAAGUAAAGCGAGUAUUCAAUUAGACACCCAACAUCCCGAAGCGCAACGUAAGAUCGCCCAACUUGAAGCCGACAAAGGACCGAGUCGCACUGAAGAGCCAGAGAAAGUAUUCGACAAACCCAUCUUCACGCAAUUAUUGACUGGACCCACAGAAUUGUGGGAAGGUCAAAUGGCUAGAUAUGAAUGCAGAGUCGUUCCAGUUGGUGAUGCCAGUUUAAGAUUCGAAUGGUAUAUAAAUGGAGUCGAACUAAAAAUGGGAUCUCGGUUCCACGUAAGCCACGAUUUCGGCUACGUGACUUUGGAUAUUUUGAAAGUAAUCACGGAGGAUUCAGGUGUGUACACCUGCAAAGCAAUUAAUAAAGCUGGCGAAGCGGUUUCCUCGAUAUCCUUGAAAGUGAAAGCGCGCUCGGCCAUCGAUGCCGAAAGUUUGCAACCGGAUGCGUGGCAAAAGAUCCAACUGAAAGAGGCAGAGAUGAACAAAGUGCCGGAAAUGUUCGUGGACACGACGCCUCAACAAGCGCCAGUGUUCACCAAACACCUGGAAAGCUACGACAAACUCGUGGAGGGUCAACACGUGUACUUAGAGGCUCAGGUAGAACCAAGAGCAGAUCCAAAUCUGCGCGUGGAAUGGUUCAAGAAUGGGAUUGCUCUUCAAACUGGAACCAGACUUCGCAGUACCUUUGACUUUGGCCUCGUCACAUUGUCCAUCAAUGGCCUCAGAUCCGAUGAUUCCGCCAUCUACACUUGCAAAGCCACCAAUCUCCUCGGUGAAGCUGUGUCCACUUGCAGCCUGAAGAUCGUCGAUCGCCAUUGGUUGCUUGGUGAUACUCUUCAUCCUGACGCACUUCCAAAGAUCGAUGCUUUGGAACAACCUCAUGUCACCACAGUAGAACAACCAGAGCCGAUAUACGAAGUUCCAGUAUUCAUCACUCAUUUGAACAACGUCGAGUGCGUGGAAGGUGACAAUGCGCACUUCGAGUGCAACGUGGAACCAUCCAAAGAUCCGACGAUGAAGAUCGAAUGGUUCAUCAAUGGAAAACCGCUUCCAACUGGAGCAAGAUUCAAAUCGACCUACGAUUUUGGCUACGUAGCUUUGGACCUUACCCACGCUUACGAGGAAGACUCGGGAGUGGUGAUCGUCAAGGCCACGAACUCGAAGGGAUCGGCUCAGACGUCAGGCACUUUGAAAUGCACCAGCAAACAGAGCAUCUAUCUACAGACUCAGCAUCCCCAAGGAGAGGCUGGACUGGAGAAGGUGAAAGAAGUGGAGGACGCUUAUCUAUCCAAAUUGAAGAGACCAGACGCUGGACCGGAACAAGAAUAUCCGAAACCUGUGUGGACAGUGCCUCUGCAGCCGGAGUUUAAGCUGGGUGAAUCUGAACCUCUUCAUCUGGAGGGCCAAGUUGAGCCCAAGGAUGAUCCAAAUUUGAAGAUCGAAUGGUACUUUAAUGGAAAGACUCUGGAGCAUGGGUCCAGGUUCAAGAUGACCAGCGACUUUGGUUUCGUCACUUUGGAUCUGACCGAUGUAUACGACCGUGACUCUGGAAUUUACACCUGCAAGGCUUACAACAAGGCAGGAGAGGCCUUCACUUCGACCACGAUCUACUGCUCGACUAAGGAGAACAUCAUUGAGAAAUCCCAACAUCCAAAGGGCAAAGAAGGUCUCGAAGCCAUUCAAGAUCUAGAAGAAUCAUUGAAACGACAGGAAGGAGCUCCACCGGAGAGCGAGGAAGGUCAUCCACCUGUGUUCACGUCUCAGUUCGAGAACCUGACCAAUCUAUCUGAAGGGGAGAUAGCUCACUUCGAGGCAUCUCUUACGCCAACUGGUGACCAAACAAUGGUAGUCGAGUGGUUCUACAAUGGAAAAUCAUUAGAGGCCAGUCAUCGCACGAGAACGGUCUAUGCCUUUGGCAUGGUCGUUCUCGAAGUUCUUGGAACCAAGAUAGAGGACUCUGGCACCUAUUCCUGCAGGGCUACCAACAAAUGGGGUCAGGCUGAGAUCAGCGUACAAUUGGAAUGCGUGGAUAAAUCUAAAGGACAGAAACCAAAGUUCACCACCCAUAUCCAGUCUCUGGAGGGUCUGAAGGAUGGCCAAUCGGCGCACUUUGAAUGCACUCUGAUCCCAGUCGGGGAUCCUCACAUGAAAGUCGAGUGGUUCCACAAUGGACAACCUCUGAGACACUCUUCCAGGUUCAAGAUGGUGUCCGACUUUGGAUUCGUCGUGAUGGACAUUGCUGGCGUGAUGGCUCACGACACUGGAGAAUAUGUGUGCAAGGCAAGCAACAAAUUCGGCGAAGAUUACACCAAAGCCACAUUGAAAUGCUUUGGAAAGAGCGGGGUAUACCUCGACUCGUUGCAACCUGAUUCCCUGGCCAGAAUCAGAGAGUUAGAGAGUUACGGUGGUGAACAACCUACCACGCCAACGACACCAGUGGCAGAGCCACCUAAAUUCAUCACGCAAAUCUCCGAUAUCACGAAACUGGUCGAAGGACAAUCCGCUCAUUUCGAGGCCAGACUUACACCCGUCAAUGAUCCAGACUUGAAAGUCGAGUGGUACUAUAAUGGAAAGAAACUGCCUCAUGGACAUAGAUAUAGAACCUUCCACGAUUUUGGUAUCGUUAUCUUGGAUAUAUUGUAUUGUUACGAGGAAAAUUCUGGGGUCUAUGAAUGUAGAGCUUUCAACAAGUACGGCGAGGACACGACUAAGGCGACUUUGAAAUGUUACUCCAAAUCGAGUCUCAUUUUGGAAUCUCAACUUCCUAAGGGAAUGGAGGGUGGAUUGGAGAAGAUCCAGACUUUGGAAGAUUCGAUGAUUCGUACAAGAGACGAAAAAGUCGUCGAGGAAAGAGGAAAGGCUCCUGUCUUCACCGUGCCCUUGAGCAACAUCGAUGGCCUUCGCGAGGGGGAGAGCGCGCACUUUGAAGCUAGACUUACACCCACUGACGAUCCAAAACUAAAGGUCGAAUGGUUCUGGAACGGUAAACCCUUGCGAACAGGUACUCGUUUCCGCACCUUCUGCGACUUCGGCUUCGUGAUCCUCGAGAUCUCGCCCAUCUAUCCAGAGGACUCUGGCGAGUACAGUUGUCGAGCAACGAACGACUAUGGCGAAGCAGUGACCACCUGCACCAUGAAGUGCACAGGGAAACGAAGCAUCAUCCUCGAGUCCCAACUGCCAAAGGGAAUGGAGGGCACCAUCGACAAGAUAGCCGAGUUGGAAGGUCUUGGAAACGAGCCAGGCGAAGUGAUCCCAGACGACGAUACGGGGAAACCACCGGAAUUCAUCACAACUCCGUCCGACUUAACCCUAACCGAGAAUUCCUUGGCGCAUUUCGAGUGCAGAUUGACACCUAUCAACGACUCUAGCAUGAGGGUGGAAUGGUUCCACAAUGGAAAGCCUCUUCUGGCUGGAACCAGGAUCAAGACCAUCCACGACUUUGGCUUCGUCAUCCUGGAGGUGGCCAAUUGUUACCAACGCGACUCAGGCCUGUACACGUGCAAGGCGACCAACCGCCACGGCGAAGCAACAGUCUCGUGCAAACUUCAAGUCCGUGGACGACAAGGGAUCAUCUUGGAACCCCAGCUGCCUACCAAUUUCAAGACCGGAACGGAGAGUAUCCAGAAGUUGGAAGAGGCUUUGUACAAGAAGGAUGAGAUAUUGACCGAGGAAGAGACGCCCAAUCCUCCCAAGUUUACCGUCGAGUUGAAGGACAUCGAGGUAGAGGAAGGCGCGCCCAGUCAUUUUGAUUGCAGAGUCGAACCUGUCGGCGAUUCUACGAUGCGCAUCGAUUGGUUCCACAAUGGAAGAUCGUUCGCCACUGGAUCUCGCGUGCACCAGAUAAACGACUUUGGUUUUAUCUCGUUGGAUAUGUCGUAUACUUAUGCCAGGGACAGCGGCGAAUAUGUUUGCAGAGCUACCAAUAAGUGGGGUUCUGCUACUACUAAAGCUACCAUAACUUGUAAAUCUAAGAAAACCAUAGAUUUCGACUCGCAGCUGCCUUCAGGCAUGAGUGGCGAGAAACUGAAGGAACUAGAACGUGGUCCAGUUAGCGAACCACCGCCUGAAGAGCCACCACGUCAACCACCGAAAUUCAUCACGCAUAUUCAAUCAGCGACAGUGGACGAAUCGGAAGCGGUCAGGUUCGAGUGUCGCGUGGAACCUAAGGAUGAUCCGAAUCUGCGUAUCGAGUGGUACAGAAAUGGAAAAUUGAUCCCGGCUGGACACAGAUACAGAACGAUGUACGACAUGGGAUUCGUGUCUAUGGAUAUCUUGUACGUCUACCCUGAAGACUCGGGAGAAUACGUGUGCAAAGCUAUCAAUGAUCUCGGAGAAGACACCACUAGGGCAUCGGUAUCCUGCAAAAAGUUGCCCAACAUCAUUCUACAGAACCAAGUGCCAAAAGGUAUGAAGAAGUCGGAAGCGUUGAUGCAGAUGGAAGCGACUAUCAAGAAAUACACCUCAGAAGUCCAUCUUACGGAGGACGAUCUCUACGACGCGGACAAGAAACAACCGCCUCGUUUCGUCACCCAGAUCCAAGAUCAAACCGAGCUUGUCGAGAUGAACAGCACGAAAUUCGAAUGUCAAUUGGCGCCUGUCGGCGAUCCAAACAUGAAGGUCGAAUGGUUCUUCAAUGGCAAACCUCUACCGCACAAGAACAGAUUCACCCCUAUUUACGACUUUGGUUACGUGGCCAUGAACUUCGGCUGGGUCUAUCCCGAAGACAGCGGCGAAUAUCUUUGCAGGGCCACGAAUCUUUAUGGAAUGGACGAGACACGGGCGGUGAUUCGAACGGCUGGCAAGCCUGGAAUUAUUUACGAGUCCCAAUUACCGAAGGGCAUGAAGAGUAUCGAAAAGAUCAGAGAAAUGGAAGCUGCAUGGCAAAUAGUACCUGAGGAAGAAGGUGAAGAAGAGAAGGUGAGGGCGCCCCCAACAUUCGUGAGCAAACCAGAACCAGUGACCGUCGAAGAGGGCGAUUGGUCCAGGUUCUGCUGUCGUGUCACUGGUCACCCAAGACCCCGUGUCAUGUGGAUCAUCAAUGGACAUACCGUGGUCAACGGAUCACGUUAUAAACUGACUUACGACGGCAUGUAUCACCUGGACAUCCCGAAAACGAGGCAAUACGAUCACGGAAAAGUGGAAGUGAUCGCGAGAAGCUCAGUAGGCGAGGCACGUACCGAAACCACAUUGACAGUGAAACCACGAAGCGACGAUUAUCGUGGCGUGUUGAAGAACUCGCCAAGACCUUGGUAUGAUUACGGGCUGACCCAAUACCAAACGGAGCGACAGAACACAGAACUCGAGAGAGUUUUCGACGAGAGGCACCACAACAUCUCUCAGGGCAUCGAGAUCGCCACCGAACACCUUGGACAGAAGGUCUUCAAGGAACCAGAGACCGAAUGGCAAAAAUCUGUGAAGAGUAAGAAGAACGAAGAUUAUUACAACAAACUGAUGACUCUCGAAGAGGAACAGGUAUUAAAGGAGAGUAGAUUGAGAGAAUCCAGCCACCAGUUCGCCAUUCCUGGCGAAAAAGUUGUUGCCCAUUCUGUGGCAAAGGGAAUGGCCCAGCAAUACGAGGAGACGCUGGAUGACAAGAAGGACGAGAAGAUUCAGGAGACGCAGCAGACAACCACGAAAUUCGUGAAGAAGCCACACACGACGGAAGUGGACAUCGAUAUGGAGCGCGUGAAAGGAAGGUAUCCUCCAGAGCCGUCGGAAUCCACGGUGCACGGGCGCGAGGUGCACGUAGCCAAGCAAAAGCAGAUCCAGAAAGAGGUGAAAGGCGAUCUGGAGAUCACCAGAAAGAUAACGGCCACGGAAACGACCGAGGUGGAGCACAAAGCGAAAACUCAAGAGCGCAUCGUUCAAGGUCCAACGAAACCUGCCAAACCUCCUGUGUUCACGAAGAAGAUUCAACCUUGCAGAGCGUUCGAGCAGGAGCAAGCACGAUUCGAGGUCGAAUUCGACGGCGAUCCAUUGCCGACCAUCAAAUGGUACCGCGAGGAUUUCCCCAUACAGAACUCUCCGGAUCUUCAGAUCUACACGUUCAGCACGAAAUCGGUGUUGAUCAUUCGCCAAGUUUUCAUGGAGGAUUCCGGUGUGUUCUCCGUGAUCGCUGAGAAUCGCGGUGGGAAGGCAAAAUGCAGUGCCAAUUUGGUGGUAGAGGAGCGUAGAAGGCAACCGGGCAGAGGUGGAGUGGUGCCACCUAGCUUCCUGUCCACCAUUCAAAGCACCUCGGUCACCACUGGCCAACUGGCUAGAUUUGACGCCAAAGUGACCGGAACUAAGCCUUUGGAUGUUUAUUGGUUGAAGAACGGCAAGAAAGUGACGGCAGACAUUCGUUAUAAGACACUCGAAGAGGACAACACCUAUACCCUGUUGAUUCUGGAAACCAUACCAGAAGAUUCGGGCAAAUACGAAUGCGUCGCGAUAAACAGCGCUGGAGAGGCGCGUUGCGACGCCGAGUGCACGGUCCGUGGCCCUCAAUCUCCCGCCAAAACCGCGAAACCAACGACACCUGGCGUCGAGAAGGCGCCGCAGGUGUUGGAGCCGUUGAAAGAUCAAACUAUCAGAGAGGGUACGUCGGUCGCGUUCGCGUGUAGGAUCACUGGAAAACCGGUACCCACGGUGCAAUGGAAGAAAGGCGACAAGGUUAUCAAACCAUCUAAAUAUUUCCAAAUGCAAAAGGAUGGCGACCUCUGCACCUUGAGGAUCUCUGAGGCAUUCCCCGAAGAUGAGGGAGUUUACAAGUGCAUUGCCAAGAAUCCAGCCGGUGAUGUGACCACUUCAGCAAACCUCAGAGUUCUUGCCCCCGAUGCAGCUGAUAUUCUCCCCAAAUUGUCACCACUGAAAGAUCAAAUAGUAUUUGAAGGACAACCGGCACAGUUCAAGACUCAAGUUACUCCAGCUAAACCAAAGCCAACGAUCCAAUGGUAUCGCGAAGGUGCCCUAAUUCCUCAGUCACCCGAUUUUCAGAUGAUUCACGAAAGCAACAACGCCGUGUUGCUGAUAGCAACCACGUACGAAGAAGACACUGGCACCUUCACCUGCCGGGCUACCACAUCAGCCGGCACCGUAGAAACUUCCGCCAAACUCAUCGUAAAAAAGAGGAAAGGAGCGUAUUACGAGGUUCCUGCUGAGAUGGGACCAGGUGUAAAACCAUCGACAGAUUAUGGAAGAGACAUUAUCCUAGAGCCAUUGACUCUAGACGAGAAUGGAUUGCCAAUCGAAAGUUUACCCUUGCAAUCUGGUGACGAAUCGUUACCUUGGAGAAAGGGACGGGUUCAUCAUCGACCUCGACUUGGCGACGUGACGCCAUGGAGAAAAACGAAACCGAAAUCUCGCGACACAUCUUUGGACAAAUUGCAAGCUGUGGAAGGCCAGGUGAAACCUUGGACAGAGGAAGCGGUAGUGUUGAAGAAAACUCCGCAAGUGCCUCGUGAAACGCCAAGGGAAAAAUUGGAGGAAGUCGAGUUGAAACCAACAAAAAUUGAGAAAAAAGAUAUUGUAAGAGCUAGCCUCGAAGCGGUUGAUCUGAAACCUGUUGUUAGAGAAAUGACAAAAGAAGUAAAAACUGAAGAAGAGAAGAUCACUCAAUUGGAUAAGACUACGGAACAAGUUUACUUGGAAGAAGAGGACUCUAGAUUUAUCAAAACCUCGAGAAAAAUAGAUGAAACUGUUCAGAGGAAAAAGGAGGAAACUAAACCUUGGACCGAAGAGAAGGUUACGUUAAAGAAAUCAAAACUCGAUAGGAAGGAGAUUCCUAGAGAGACUUUAGAGACUGUAGAACUGAAACCUUCAAAGAUUGUUAAGAAGGAGGUCGAGAAAGCUACUUUGGAGAAGGUUGAUUUGAAAUCUGUUCCUACAGUGACUGAGAAGAUUACUGAGGAAACGAUUUCGAAAACUGAAUACCUUGAACAAGAGGACACGUCGAUGUUAGAUGUGACUAAGAUUGAAGAAGUGAAGAAAUUAAAGAAAGAGAAGAUAGAGGAAAAAAUAGAACAAGCGAAACCUUGGACCGAAGAGAAGAUUACUUUGAAGAAAUCUAAACCAGUAAAGAAAGAGAUUGAGAAAGAAACUAUAGAAACUGUGGAACUAAAACCAUCGAAGAUUGAAAAAUUACCUGAUCGAAAACCAAGUUUAGAGAAAGUGGAUUUGAAACCUAUUCCAACAACAGUGACUGAAAAAAUCACCGAGAAAAAGAUCACUGAAAAAACUAAAUAUUUUGAAGAAGAGGAUACUGCUUUGUUAGAGGUAUCAAAGACUGAAGAACUGAAGAAAGUGAAAAAAGACAAGAUUGAGGAGAAACCGGAAGAGAAGCCUAAACCUUGGACUGAAGAAAAAGUUACAUUGAAGAAGGCUAAGCCUGUGAAAAAAGAAGUUGAAAAGGAGACGAUAGAAACAGUUGAAUUAAAACCAUCGAAAAUAACGAAAACUUCAAUUCGAAAAGAGAGUUUAGAAACAGUGGAUCUUAAAGCUGUCACGAAGGAAACAGAGAAAACGAUGAAAGAAAUCGUACAAAAGACUGAUUACAUGGAACAAGAAGACACGACAUUGCUCGAUAUUUCCAAGGAUACGCAAGUGAAGAAAACGAGGAAAGAAUCGAUCUCAGUAGAAAAGGUGGAACAAGCUAAACCUUGGACGGAAGAGAAAAUAACAUUGAAAAAAGCCAAACCUGAAAAGAAAGAAAUACCGAAAGAAACGUUCGAAACUGUACAAUUAAAACUAUUCAGGCCAGAAAAGCCAGAUAUAGAAAAAUCGAGUCUCGAAGAGGUAGAUUUGAAACCUAUUCCUAAGAAAGAAGUUCCUAAAAAAUCUGAAGAAAAAGAGGUAGUCGUUGAAGAAGAUGAUACGACUCUUCUUCAGGUCACCAAGGACACCGAAACUACUGUCAAGAUCGACAAAAAAGUGAAGAAAAAGGAAGAAGUUGAAAGAAAAAUUUCAGAAACUAAGCCUUGGACUGAAGAGAAAAUAACCUUGAAGAAAGCUAAAGUCGAGCAGAAAGAAGUUCGAAGGGAAAGUUUGGAAGAAGUGAUCUUGAAACCAACUAAAACAGAAAAAAGAGAAAUAAAGAAGGAAACAUUGGAGAAAGUAGAUUUGCAAAAAAUGAUUGACAAAACUCAAUUUGUAGAGAAAGAAGAUACGAAAGUCUUGAAAAUAGACAGAGAAGAAAAAAUUGAGGAAGACAAAAUAGAGAAAGUAGCGACUUGGAGAAAAGAAAGGAAACCGAAGGAACAGAUACCAUAUCACGAGGAAGAAGAUAAAACGAUAUUAGAUGUAGGGAAAGAUGUCGAAUUGACGGAGAAACAGAAGGAAGUGCCAGUACCUUGGGCCAGAGGCAAGAAAAAACCCACAGAAAAAAUUCCUUAUCACGAAGAAGAGGAUACUACUCUCCUUGAUGUUGAAAAGACUGAAAAGACGACUGAGAAACAGGCGAAGGAGGAAGUGCCGGUUCCAUGGGUACGAGGAAAGAAAGCAAAGAAAGAAAAACCAGAAGUUCUACAAACACAACUUGAUGAAAAACCAGUAGAGGAAGAAGAAAAAUUGGAAACGAUGCAAGUUCCAUGGCUUCGAGAUAAGAAGGUGACAAAGAAGAUACCGGAAAAGAAAGAGGAACCGGUUGAGGAUAUCAAAUCUGUCACGUUGAAACCGGUCAGGCGCGAACGUGUACCGGAAGAGAAAGAGAAACUAGAAGAAGUAACAUUAAAGCCUGUCAAACGCAUUCCACGUGAAGAAGAAGAGAAGGAGGAAGUGCAAUUGAAACCCAUUCCGAAAUCCAAACCUGAAGAGAAACCACGUGAAGAAGUGACAUUGAAACCAUUCCAAAAACCGAAACCAGAAGAAGAGAAAUUGAAGAAACCAGAAUUGAAACCAUUCGAAAAACCUAAACCUGAAGCACCAGAAGAGGAAAAAGUACAGUUAAAACCAUUUAAACGAGAAAAACCGGAAGAAAAACCAACUGUAAUCCCAAAAAUACUUCCGGAAAAAUCACAAGAAAAAGAAAUAAAGGAAGUUGAAGAAAUAUCAUGGAAACCAAAAAAACCGUCGAUUCCUGAAACACCUGUUGAAAAAAUAGCAGAAAAGAUUGUAGAGGAAAAAGUAAUUAAAAAGGAAGAAGAAAAGAUCGAAGAUUUCAAAUCAAUAGCUUUGAAACCGGUUAAACGAGAGAAAAAACCUGAGGAACGGGAAGAUAAGGAGGAAAUCACAUUGAAACCAGUGAAACGUAUUCCUCAAGAGGAAGAAAGCACUGAGGAAAUUAAAUUGAAACCGGUAGAGAAACCAAAACCAGAGAAGAAGAUCGAAGAGAAAGAAGAGAAACCCUUGAAACCAAUCGAACAAGAAAAACCAAUUGAAUUAGAAUUACCUUGGCGACGUGACAAAAAGAAACCUAUCGAGCAAAAAGUUACCGAAAUCACAAUUGAAGAGAAAAAAGUGGAAGAAGAACAACCAGAAGUUAGUUGGCGUAAACCACGGGAAAAAGUGCAAAAAGAAAAAGUAGAAGAUUUCACAACAGUUAAAUUGAAACCAGCAAGAAAAGAAAAAAGACCGGAUGAAAAAGUAGAAAAGGAAGAAGUAGUAUUAAAACCGAUUGAGAAAAUACCAAAAGAGGAAGAAACAAUUGAAGGAGUAAAACUUAAACCAGCAAAAUUGGAGAAACCAGAAACAGUUGAAAAUGGUGAAAUUCUUGAAGAAAAGACUGAAUUGCCAUGGCGACGUGGUAAAAAAUCAACAAAGAAAUUAGCAAAGGAAGAAGUGAAACCCGAACAAUUACUGAAACCUGAAGAAGAAGUACCUAAAAGGAUCGAGGAACAAAUAAUAUUUAAACAUAAAGAUGAGAAACCUGAGGAAAAAGAAAUACCAGAGAUUAAAUUAAAACCAGUUAAACACAUAGAAAAACCAAAAGAAGAAAAGCCUGAAGAAGUAAAAUUAAAACCUGUAAAGCGACUUCCUAAGGAAGAGGAGGAAAAAGAAAUAGUAACAUUGAAACCAAUAAAAAAAGAUAAACUAGAAGAGGAAAAACCAGAAGUUAAACUGAAACCUGUAAAACAUAUAGAAAAACCAGAAGAAGAGAAACCCGAAGAAGUGAAAUUAAAACCUGUGAAACGUCUUCCUAAGGAAGAAGAGGAAAAAGAAGUGGUAACUCUGAAACCAAUAAAGAAAGAAAAACCAGAGGAAGAAAAACCUGAAGAAGUGAAAUUGAAACCUGUAAAACAUAUAGAAAAACCAGCAGAAGAGAAACCCGAAGAAGUGAAAUUGAAACCUGUGAAACGUCUUCCUAAGGAAGAAGAGGAAAAAGAAGGGGUAACUCUGAAACCAAUAAAGAAAGAAAAACCAGAGGAAGAAAAACCUGAAGAAGUGAAAUUGAAACCUGUAAAACAUAUAGAAAAACCAGCAGAAGAGAAACCCGAAGAAGUGAAAUUGAAACCUGUGAAACGUCUUCCUAAGGAAGAAGAAGAAAAAGAAGUGGUAACUCUGAAACCAAUAAAGAAAGAAAAACCAGAGGAAGAAAAACCUGAAGAAGUGAAAUUGAAACCUGUAAAACAUAUAGAAAAACCAGCAGAAGAGAAACCCGAAGAAGUGAAAUUGAAACCUGUGAAACAUUUUCCUAAGGAAAAAGAAGAAAAAGAAGUGGUAACUCUGAAACCAAUAAAGAAAGAAAAACCAGAGGAAGAAAAACCCGAAGAAAUCAAAUUGAAACCUGUGAAACAUUUUCCUAAGGAAAAAGAAGAAAAAGAAGUGGUAACUCUGAAACCAAUAAAGAAAGAAAAACCAGAGGAAGAAAAACCCGAAGAAAUCAAAUUGAAACCUGUGAAACAUGUAGAAAAACCAAAGGAAGAAAAACCAGAGGAAGUCAAAUUGAAACCUGUCAAGCGUCUGCCAAAGGAAGAAGAAGAAAAAGAGGAAGUAAUUUUGAAACCUAUAAAGAAAGAAAAGCCAGAAGAAGAGAAACCUGAAGAAGUUAAAUUAAAACCACUCAAACAUCCUGAGAAACCAAAAGAGGAAAUACCGGAAGAAGUGAAAUUAGAACCAGUUCCAAAGCCUGUUCCUGAAAAAAUUGAAGAUGAGGAGGAAAAAGUAUUACCAUGGCGUCGUGGCAAGAAGACAAAGAAGAUUGUCGAUUUCCGAGAAGAAGUCACAGUGGUACCAAUCGAUCAAGAGAAAAUGAUUACAGAGAUACACGAAGAAGAGACAAAGGUCGUGGAACAAAAAGUAGAGGCUAAAGAAGUAAUCCAAAUGGAAGUAAAAGAAAUCAAAGAGGAGAAACCAGAAGAAGCUGCACUUCCAUGGAGAAGACCGACAAAAGAAAUAAAAGAGAUCAUCGAAGAAAAAGUCGUAGUUGAAGAAAUUAAACCUGAAACGGUACUCAAGGAAGAUAAAGUUAUUGAAGAUGUCACUGAAACAUCGGAAAUCUCUUGGAGAAAGAGGCGAAAACCGAAGAAACCGGAAGAAGAAAAAGAAGUAGUCGAGUUGAAACCUGUCGAGAAACGCGAGGAGUUUGUAGAAAGAAUAGAAGAAAUCGUUCUGAAACCUGUCAAAAAGGAGAAAGUACCUGAAGAAGUCGAGAAAGAUGAAAUUCGUCUGAAACCUGUUCCCAAAAAACCACAGGAGGAAGAAGUACCCGAAAAGGUGACUUUGAAACCUGUCAAGAGGGAGAAACUCGAGGAGAAACCUAAGAAAGAAGAAAUAUCAGAAUUGAAACCGGUAAAAUUAGAAAAACCGAAGAAACUUGAAGAAGAAGAGAUAGAGGAAGAGAAGGUGACCGAAAUAUCAUGGAGGAAACCUAAAAAGAAACCAGAAGAGAUACCUGUACCUGUAGAAAAAGAAGUUCAAGUGAUCGAAGCGACUAAAGUGGAAAAGAUUGUUGAAGAUGUAGUCGAGGUCGAGAAGAAAAAGGUCCAAGUCGAGGAUCGUAGGAGGAAACACAAACAACGUACGCAAGUCGAGAUAUCUAUCACAGAUAAAGAUAAGAAAAUUGCACCGAGAUUUAUUCAGAAACUUCAACCCGUUAUCGCGCAACCUGAAACAACCGCGAAAUUCACAUGCACAGUAUUUGGCAAUCCAUUCCCCGAAAUUACCUGGUACAGAAACGAGCAGGAGCUUCACGCGAGUGAGAAGUACAUAAUGACCAUCUACGAAACGACCGCAACGUUGGAGAUAACGAAGGUGAAGGAGGAGGACGCUGGAAUGUAUUCUUGCAGAGCGUCGAAUCCGGCUGGAGUAGCCACGUCCACCGUCAAUCUCGUGAUAUUUGAAAAAGAGGAAGAAGGCGUAGCGCCACAUUUCGCGACACCGAUAAAGCCUCUCAUGGUGGAGGAGCACAAGCCAGCUCUGCUCGAGUGCAUCGUCACCGGCACACCGAUGCCGGAAGUGAAGUGGUAUCGUGGGGAAGAAGAGCUGAAACCGAAAAAGGGCAGAGAGAUCACGUUCAAUCCGGAAACUGGGGAGGCGAAGUUGCACAUAUUGGAGCCGACCGAGGAGGACGAGACUAUAUAUCGCGUACGGGCCGUGAAUAAAUUCGGACGCGCCGAAUGCAGAGCGAAUCUGGUGAUCAGUAACGUGGUGAGAGUGAGCAAACCGGAAGUUCUGAGGGCGCCAAAGAUCACCAGACCCUUGCCAGCCUUGGUUGCCGAGUUUGGAAAGCCUUUGACGUUAUCCGCUGAUUUCGAGAGCAAACCUACACCGGAAGUGAAAUGGUACCGCAACGGUGCCGAGAUCAUACCAUCUGACAAGCGUGUGAUUAAGAUUUACGAAAACACGACCGAGUUGUACAUUCCUGAGGUGACGAAGAAGGAUGGAGGAAAGUACGAGGUCCGAGUGGAAAAUCCUGUCGGUGAGGCGAGAAGCUCUGGCUCUGUGACGGUGAAGGAACGAGAGGACAAGACGGACGAGGUGAAAGCACCGAGAUUUAUCGAGCCGCUGCAACCGCAAAUCGUAACAGAAGGAGAAGUCGUGAUCAUGGAAACACGUGUCGAUUCCUAUCCGGCAGCCUCCUUCCAAUGGUUCCACGAUACUCGUCCUUUGGAGUCCACGCCACAGGUGAGGAUCGUAACGCAAGAGAACAAAUCGAUCCUAAUGAUCAAGGAGAUCAAACCCGAGUACUCGGGUACGUACACUUGUCGUGCCGAGAACGUUGGCGGAUCUGUCACCUGCACGGCGACCAUAAAUCUGUUGGAUACGCCUUGGGAGGAAACCGUGGAGCUGGUUUCACCGACGUUUGUCAAACGGUUAUCGCCGGUCAGGGUCAUGGAUGGUGAAAGCGCCAACCUGACGUGCAUCGUCCAAGGAAAACCCACGCCCAGGGUCGAGUGGUAUCACGACAAUAAACCGAUCAAGGAGGGCAAGGAGAUCACGAUCGUGCAAGACACGGAAGGCGUUUGCAGUUUGGCCAUAACCGAAGUUUUUCCAGAGGAUGCUGGAGAAUACACUUGUCGUGCCGUGAAUCCUGUUGGGGAAGCGGUUUGCACGUCGUCGCUUAUCGUGGAAGCAUACGAGUAUGUACCGGAUUCAGAGAUCGCUUCUUCGAUUGUCGCGACGUCUCUUACUACAGGGCAAAGCGGUUCGGAGGAGGAUCUUUUAUCUCCAAAGGAAACACCUUUGUUCGACACGGACGAGGAAUCUGCGCCGGAGAUAGUAAAGAAACUUCCUCAAUUAAUUCCUACCAAAGUCGGAGAACUAACCAGGUUGGAAGUGAAAGUGAAAGGAAAACCAAAACCAGAAGGAAAAUGGUACAAGCAGGGCGUCGAGAUCGUGCCGUCCCAAGAAUUCCUGAUCGAGGAAUUCGAGGAUGGCACUUCCGUGUUAACGAUAGCCGAAACUUAUCCAGACGACAUGGGUGAGAUUGUGUUCGAGGUGCACAAUCCACUCGGCGUAUCGACCACGACCACCUAUCUGUCGGUAGAAGGAAUCGUCGGAACGAAGGAGUACAGGAAGCCAUCAUGGGUCACCCAGAUGGAAGAGAUGCAAGAAGCUCUAAGAGGUAAGAGCCGCCAAUCUGAGGCGAUCGAUUGCAUGUUGAGUGAGGCGGAGUGCAGCUUUUCCACGGAUAGCCUGGAUCGAGCCAUUAGGGAGGAAGGUUCUCAAAGGGACAGCUCGACGAUGAUCAGCGAAUUCUCCUCGACGAGAACCUUGAUGAACAUCGACGACGAAGAAAAUGUGUUGUUCGAAAGCACGAAACGCGAAUCGAAAAGUGAAGGGCAGAAAAGCAAAGUGGAUAAAAAGACGAGAACCGAAAGGGUAAAUAAAGUGGUGAGAAAGAAGAAAUUGGAGAGCACGGAGGAGAAGAGUGUCGCGAAGAAGGGCACGGAGACGAAAUCGCAUCCCGCGAAGAACAGGCGAGAUUCUGCAAGUGGCACGAGUGGCAAAUCUUCCAAUGUGCACAAGAUGAGAUCGUCGAGGCCUCUGACGGUGGAAAAAUCGAUAAAGGGAACGAAUGUGAAAACUAGAUCUCCAUCCCCUGACCAGGCGAAGUGUUCAAAGAUGAACGAGUCGAGCGAGAAACACAGAAACGUGAAGUCUCCUUCACCGACGAGAUCGAGGCAAGUAAGAUCCAAUGAUAAAUUGAUCGCGAUGAAAUAUGCGAAAUUCAAAGAAGAGGAGGCCUCUAUAAGCAGCGACGAGGUCGCGUAUAGAAGAAUGGAGAGCGUGGACAAAGUAUCGAUUGAAAGUGAGAAUAGAAGUGAAAGGAGAAAGAAGAUCGUGUUGGAUUUCGACGAGUUUCCGCCUCCGAGAUCCGAGAGGAAGACUCAGGCUAGAUCCGAUCUUUCAAACAUCCAAGAGGCUGGUUUUUAUCUUUCGCCUAUAGAGGAGAACAGCGAAGCCUCGACCGGAAGUGGGCAGAGCAAACAAGUUAUCGAGCACUAUGGAAAAAUGAUGGAAACGUCUAUGGAGUACGAUCAUGCAAGGAAGUAUCACACUUAUCCAAAGUCGAGGAUACCCGUGGCCAGAUGGUCGAAGGAACGUCGUUUCGGAAACUUGAUGAUGGAUCCGAAGAUGUAUCCUUUGGAACCGAGAGAGAUCGAUUUGGAGGCAUUCCAACAGUUGCAUACGGCGGAUAGCCAAGAGGAGUUGCAAGAAUUUUUGUUGUUGGAAAGUCAGUGCAGCGGAAACCUCGGUCUGGCCGGUAAUAUAUCGACUUCCGAGGUAUCGUGCAACGAGCAUCAUAGCGAAGAUGAAAGAGGCACCAUGUCAGAUUACUGACAUUGGGGUCACGCGAGUCGUACAAUCACCAAUCAAAAGAUCAGCCACGCAAUCUGUACCACGAUUCAUUCAAGAGAUUACCGAUGUUUAUGCGAAGGAAGGUGAAACCGCGGUGUUCGAAUGCAUAUACUCUGGCAAUCCUGUUCCAGACGUUGUAUGGUAUAAGAAUGAUAAGAUGAUCACCAAUACCCCGAACGUGAAAAUACGUCUUUUGGACGAGGAGAAAAAGACAAUAUUGAUAAUUAAACACGCGACCGAAGAAGACGAUGCCACUUACGUGUGCAAAGCUACAAGUGAGAUAGGUUUAACAACAACGAAAGCUAAACUACAUGUAACAGAAAUAACUGGCAAGAAAAUCUUCAUGGAUGAAGAACAGUUCGAGGAGCAAGUGGUAGAGGAGAAACCUAA